AUGCCCGAGGCCAAGGACGAGGGAAACGCCGGCGAUUCGAAGCGCGAGGCCACUGAAGAUCAGUUACUGAACUCCGUCAGAGAGGGGGAGUCUGAUGAGUUCCAGGACGCCGUCGCUGGUUUGGUUACGGAGGUGAUGGCCAAGGAGGAAGAUGAGCUGUGCCAGGCCCGGCUCAAGGCAGAGGAAGAGGAGGAGGCCAGGAAGAGAGAAGCUCGGAAGGCUUUUGAUCCGAAUGAGCGGUUCAGCAAACUGGACGAACUGCUGACAAAGACACAGCUGUUUUCUGAAUUCCUGCUUGAGAGGAUGGAGCAGAUCACAGAUAAAGCUGUCGAAGUUAAAGACGAAGAUGAACCUGUGGAAGAGCAGAAGAAAGGUCGCGGCAGAAAGAGGAAAGCAAAGGCUAAGCCAAAGUACAAUGACAAGAAGGCUAAGACAGCAGUCGCAGCCAUGCUUACAAGAUCGCGUGAAGACCGUACUGCUGAUGAUAGUACUCUCACUGAAGAAGAAAGGUGGGAAAAAGAGCAAGCCAAUCUUGUUCCAUUAUUGACUGGAGGAAAGCUGAAAUCUUACCAGAUAAAGGGUAUUAAGUGGUUAAUAUCGCUGUGGCAAAACGGCCUAAAUGGAAUUCUAGCUGAUCAAAUGGGCCUCGGGAAAACAAUCCAGACAAUUGGAUUUCUUGCCCAUCUCAAAGGAAAUGGUAUGGACGGUCCGUACAUGGUUAUUGCUCCCCUUUCCACUCUGUCAAACUGGUUAAAUGAGUUAUCAAGGUUUGCUCCAUCUCUGAUUGGUCUGAUUUAUCAUGGAGAUAAAGUGGCUCGGGCAGAGCUAAGGAGGAAAUUCAUGCCCAAAAAAGUUGGCCCUAAUUUUCCGAUAAUAAUCACUUCAUUUGAGAUGGCCAUGUUUGAUGCAAAACUUCUUGCUAAUUACCAGUGGAAGUAUGUUGUUGUCGAUGAGGGGCAUCGGUUGAAAAAUACGAAUUGUAAAUUAUUGAGGGAGCUAAGGCGCAUUCCGAUGGAGAAUAAGCUCCUUUUGACUGGGACACCUCUUCAGAAUAACCUAGCAGAGCUGUGGUCGCUACUGAACUUCAUUUUGCCUGAUAUAUUCUCAUCCCAUCAGGAAUUUGAGUCAUGGUUUGAUUUUUCUGGUAAGGGAGAUGGGGAACAACAGGAAGAAACUGAUGAGAACAAAAGAGUCCUUGUUGUCUCAAAGCUUCAUGCCAUUUUGCGUCCAUUCCUUCUAAGGCGGAUGAAGGAGGAUGUAGAACACAUGCUUCCACGAAAGAAAGAGAUAAUCAUUUAUGCUAACAUGACUGAACAUCAGAAACAAAUCCAGAAUCACUUGGUUGAGAGGACAUUCGACAACUACUUGCAUGAGAACACAGAUAUUGUUUUGCGGAGACCUGGCAUCAAGACGAAGCUAAAUAAUCUACUCAUUCAGCUCAGGAAAAAUUGUGGCCACCCUGAUCUUUUGGAUGCUGCAUUCGACACAAGCUACUUCUAUCCACCUGUUGAAAAGCUUCUCGAACAAUGUGGCAAAUUUCAGCUGUUGGAUAGGUUACUGGAUGCUCUACUCAAACGAAAUCACAAGGUCCUUAUAUUUUCUCAGUGGACAAAAGUUUUGGACAUCCUUGACUAUUAUUUGGAUACAAAAGGUCUGAAGGUUUGCCGAAUUGAUGGUAAUGUUAAGCUAGAAGAUAGGAGGAAGCAGAUAGCGGAGUUUAAUGACUUGAACAGUGGUCUGAACGUCUUCAUUCUAAGCACGCGUGCUGGUGGGCUUGGUAUCAACCUUACUUCUGCUGAUACUUGCAUCCUGUAUGACAGUGACUGGAACCCUCAGAUGGAUUUACAGGCUAUGGAUCGAUGCCACCGCAUUGGUCAAACAAAACCGGUUCAUGUUUAUCGGCUGGCAACAUCGAAUUCUGUUGAGGGUCGGAUUAUCAAGAGAGCUUUUGGAAAGCUGAAGCUAGAGCAUGUGGUGAUUGGGAAGGGACAGUUUCAACAAGAUGCCGCCAAGCCUAACACCUUAGAUGAGGCGGAGCUGCUGGCGCUGCUGAGGGACGAGCAGGGCGAGGAAGACAGGAUGAUCCAGAUGGAUAUCAGCGACGAGGACCUUCUGAAGGUGAUGGACCGGAGCGACCUGACCGGCCCUGCUGCGGCUGCCAGUGCCGCCCCUCUUGUCCCCCUGAAAGGGCCUGGCUGGGAGGUGGUGCUGGCCUCGAAGAGUGGUGGCGGCAUGCUCUCGGCGCUCACCAGCUGA
rnacentral:rRNA from 1 species